rnacentral:rRNA from 1 species
CCUACGGGUGGCUGCAGUCGAGAAUCAUUCACGAUGGGGGAAACCCUGAUGGUGCGACGCCGCGUGGGGGAAUGAAGGUCUUCGGCUUGUACACCCCUGUCAUGUGGGAGCAAAUUAAAACGAUAGUACCACCAGAGGAAGAGACGGCUAACUCUGUGCCAGCAGCCGCGGUAAUACAGAGGUCUCAGGCGUGGUUCGGAAGCACGGGGCGUAAGGGGGGCGUAGGCGGUUUCGUAAGUCGUGUGGGAAAGGCGCGGGCGCAACCCGCGGACGGCCCAGGGUACUGCGAGACGAGAGUAAGGGAGGGGGAAGCGGGAGUCUCGGUGUAGGAGGGAGAUGCGUAG